GUCCAUGCCGUAAACGAUGUCUACUAGCCAUUGGGGCCUUUGAGGCUUUAGUGGCGCAGCUAACGCGAUAAGUAGACCGCCUGGGGAGUACGGUCGCAAGACUAAACUCAAAUAAAUUGACGGGGGCCCGCACAAGCGGUGGAGCAUGUGGUUUAAUUCGAUGCAACGCGAAGAACCUUACCUGGUCUUGACAUAGUAAGAACUUUCCAGAGAUGGAUUGGUGCCUUCGGGAACUUACAUACAGGUGCUGCAUGGCUGUCGU
rnacentral:rRNA from 1 species